GAGGGCAACGGAGGCCCGCGCACCUGAGUGACACAGGAAAGGGCGGCGGGCUGCGGGCCUGGGCUCUAGCGGCUCCUGCCCCGUCUCUCCCCGGACAGCGACGGCAAGCGAAUCCCUCUCGGCGGCACCGCAAUCUCCCCUCGGCUUCUCACACGGGCGCCGCCAUCUUGGAACUCCCAUCACCUCCCGCGACAGGGCUGGGGGCGGGGCUAACGGCUGUCGGUAGAGCAGCGCCUCUGAGGGAGGGAGGGAAGAAGAGGCCUCCGUUCUACUGUUACCGUGGCAACAGGCGGAUGGCCUAGGUCCAGCUCCUGUUACUAUAGCAACCAGGGUACCCUUGUAUUCCUUUGCCUUGCCUCAGGGAGAGAAGCUUUUCAUUGGGAUGCUUGGUGUUGCAGUCAAAUAUUGGAUCUUCUUGCCUAUCAUGCGACAACUUGUGGCCAAUGACAGUAUUACAGUAAAAGAAUCCAUAUUUUCAGUAGUGCAUGCUGCUGAAUUAACAUUUCUUAUUUUAAAUGAUGUGCUGAUGAUACAUGACUCCUGAAAAGCUUUCUAAAAUGUUUAAAAGGGUUUCCAACAUUUGCUGGAAAUGUAAACAAGUGGGCUCUUUCAUGUAAAUUGCCAUUAAAUAUUGGGUUCAAAUCCACAAGUCAAUCCAAAGAAAUUGGGGGAAAAUAUCCAGUUAGAACCUGAGACUUUUUUUACUUGAACUGACAGAUAUAAAUUAUUAUGAUAGAUUGUUUCAAUAUAUGAUCACAGCAGCCAGAUUAUUAUAUUUGUAGAACUGGAAGAAAUCAGCAACACCAACAAUAGAAGACUGGAUAAUAAAAAUGAUGGACUUGUCUAAGAUGGAUAAAUUAAACUGCUGAUCAAAAGAAGGUAAUGAGAGAUCACUACCGGGCCCCUGGUUGAGAACUAUUUUCGAUUUGGACUCAGUCCAUGCCAGCCCAAUGACCAUCAUUUGACUACACAACCAACCCAUACUGUUUUGUGAACUCUAGUUGGCUGCUGUAAAUUAAUGUGGAUGUUUGCUUAGAUUUUAUGCUAUUAUAUAAUUUUGUUAAACU
rnacentral:lncRNA from 1 species